UGGGAAACCGGAAGUAGCGCGCUAAAAUACUUCCGUUAACGGACAUCGUUAGAAACGGAUGGAGCAUUGCUUCGGGUUCUCACACGAGUAAAAAAAAGAUUGAGAAGAAAAGAAGUUGGAGAACCAUCCAGAAAUCGCUUUUAUCUGUCCUGGAUUCUCAUACUGGAAAUCCUUUCUUGGUCAGGUCUUUUCAUGAGGCGAGCAGAAGUCCCAGAAGCUCCAGUCCUUGAAUCAUACCAGGUGAACUAUUGAUCCAUAGAUGGCGAGCCUUCCAAGGAACAGUGAACCUCCACCACAGCAUUCCGGGAGCCUGUGGUAGGAUCAUUUUCUGAAGACUUCCAAGAUGUCCUCCCUCUGGUUGUAUCUGACUCUGCUCUAUGCUGCCAGUUUUGUACAAAACAGAGCCUCAUCAGAUCAAGCAGUGACAAUGAAGUGCAACGAAACAGUGGAAGUUAAAGCUGGAGAAAUGGCGACACUAAACUGCACUAUAAUAUAUAUAGUUAAUUCAAACCUCUGUAAAUGUUUAAGUUAUUCCUGGAAUAACGCCCAUGGCAGCAUACCAUGUGGCUUGAUGCAAUACAACUGUGAAUGGGAUAAUGAGACUUAUAUGUCGCUCACCAUCUCAAAUGUCACGACAAAUGAAAAUUACACCGCUAACAUACACACAGACUGCGGUCGGGCUACAUCAUCUCCUAUAGAAGUACAACUUAUCCAGCUUGGCAACGGUGAGCGCAUGGAGGAUUCCAACAGCACCCAUGAUGGUGAAGCCAUGUCAAUACAUGUGCCAGCCAUGUUUUGUGGCAUUUUCGUCAUCUUCAUUGUUUCGGGCAUUUUUUAUAUCCUGUUUAGAAUUAAUAGAGGCAGAGAAAUAAGGAAACGCAUCAAGAAGAAAAAGACUCCUGAAGCCCACAGUGGCAUGGACACUGCACCAGGGAGUCAAGUCCCACUGAUUGCCUGACAAAAUUUGAAAUUUGUGUUUCACCAUCUGUGGGUAUGUUACAAAUAUUUCUUGUUCAUAAGUUUUUCCCUCAACACUGCUGGCUGUGCUCUGCCAUACUGUCAAAAAGACUUUGGAAUGUUCUGCCUCCACCGUUAUGGACUGCUGUAUGUGUGGAUUCUUUCAACAUCAGUUAAAAACCCACCUUUUUAGACAGGUGUUCAGCUGACCUGUCUGCACUUUUUUUGUUUUUUAUGUAAUUUUAAUUGUGUAUAAUGUUUUUAAUAUGCAAUAUGUAUGUGUUUUUAUGUCAUUGUAAAGCACUUUGGGAUUUCAUCUGUAAAAAGCUCUUCGUGAAUACAUUUUACUUACUUACUUUUGUUGUAGUACUCCUCAAUACCUAAUACCUAAUAUUGGUUCCCCUUUGAUGUCAUCAGGGUUAUCUUAGCUCGGGCUUGGAGACUACAAAACAUAUAAUGGAAAGCCUGCGUUACAAGCUUUGGCAUGGUCUUUGAAAAACUUGGGCAUUUAUCAGGCAGCGGAAGGCUAAUAAAAGGGAAAAUGAAGGGUCCAGCAUUUUUGGUGCUUGACUGUAAGAUUAGUGGACGUAGCAGCAAUGACAUUACCCAUUGGCUUGUGGACUGCCAACAACCCUUCUAUAGAGUCAUCCAGUGGAGAUUUACCUGCUGGUAAACAUGGACAUGCAUGUAUGGAAGUACAGAAAAUCUGCAAACUUUCCCUUAAGUUACAGCUAACGCUAGUGGUAGCUGGCUAGCUUGGUUGGCACAAGACAUCUUUAGGCAACAAAAAUGUUCUUAUUUGAUGAAAGGAAAACACACAGUGAGAGGGUCAAAGUUCAACAUAGAAACAUAGACAACACUUCAAACAAUUUCACAGCUUUUUUAAUGUACACAGUGCCAUGGUUAGCAUUGCUAAGCCUCUGUCCUGAUUAACAGGUUGACGUAGCCACACCCCUAAAGCAUCACCUGCUUUAUCGUCUAUUUUUAAAUAAAUGGAACAGUAGGCCCGUUCGACAUGAGCCAGGCCGGUGCAGAAUCGAUCACCGGCGAUUGCUGCCCAAUGCAUGCCGGUUAGAUUGUGUACGACUUCGUCCCGACUUGCUCGGACGUCAUGCACACAUUGGCAACGAUAACCUCACGGGAUCAAGGCGGUCGCAGUUUUGAGAGGCAGGCAAUGCAGUUGCUUUUCACCGACUGCUAGACCCAGGUGGACCCAGGGUAUGCUGGGAAACGCUCUCAGCUGAUCUAACAGCUGAUUGGUUCUUAAUCAACUCAA